UGACAACUCUAGAGAUAGAGUCUUCCCCUUCGGGGGACAAAGUGACAGGUGGUGCAUGGUUGUCGUCAGCUCGUGUCGUGAGAUGUUGGGUUAAGUCCCGCAACGAGCGCAACCCUUAAGCUUAGUUGCCAGCAUUAAGUUGGGCACUCUAAGUUGACUGCCGGUGACAAACCGGAGGAAGGUGGGGAUGACGUCAAAUCAUCAUGCCCCUUAUGAUUUGGGCUACACACGUGCUACAAUGGACAAUACAAAGGGCAGCUAAACCGCGAGGUCAUGCAAAUCCCAUAAAGUUGUUCUCAGUUCGGAUUGUAGUCUGCAACUCGACUACAUGAAGCUGGAAUCGCUAGUAAUCGUAGAUCAGCAUGCUACGGUGAAUACGUUCCCGGGUCUUGUACACACCGCCCGUCACACCACGAGAGUCUGUAACACCCGAAGCCGGUGGAGUAACCAUUUAUGGAGCUAGCCGUCGAAGGUGGGACAAAUGAUUGGGGUGAAGUCGUAACAAGGUAGCCGUAUCGGA
rnacentral:rRNA from 1 species